rnacentral:lncRNA from 1 species
CAGGUGCUCAUGGACUUCCUCAACCUGGAACAUCCCUCUGCAAGUUCUUUCCCUUUUUCUCUUUAGUGAGUUUCUCCUGGAGCCUGCAUUUUGUGGAGGGCUCAAGCCUGCUAAGUUUUUGUGACCUAAGGAAUAAAUCAUUGAGAGACUCAGAGGUAGUCUAUUGUGAGGAAGUGCUGGGAAAGAAGGUGGAAAGCAAAAGAUGUAUUGUAUGAGAAAAAAGAAAACUGAGGGAGGUCGAAGACUGCUACUAUUUCCCAAAGGUAAGGCAACACACAUUCCCAACUGCUCUUCCUUUUUUCAUUUGUUAGUCCAACAAACCUUUUU